CCUACGGGGGGCAGCAGUGAGGAAUAUUGGUCAAUGGGCGGAAGCCUGAACCAGCCAAGUAGCGUGCGGGAUGAAGGCCCUACGGGUCGUAAACCUCUUUUGCACGGGGGCAACACCCUCCACUUGUGGAUGUCUGCAGGUACCCUGCGAAUAAGGGCCGGCUAAUUCCGUGCCAGCAGCCGCGGUAAUACGGAAGGGCCGAGCGUUAUCCGGAUUUAUUGGGCUUAAAGGGUGCGUAGGCGGGCGUGCAAGUCAGCGGUAAAAUCGCGGGGCUCAACCGCGCACCGCCGUUGAAACUGGAGGCCUUGAGUGCGCAAGAGGUAGGCGGAAUGCGUGGUGUAGCGGUGAAAUGCAUAGAUAUCACGAGGAACCCCGAUUGCGAAGGCAGCCUACCGGCGUGCAACUGACGCUGAGGCACGAAGGUGUGGGUAUCAAACAGGAUUAGAUACCCGAGUAGUC
rnacentral:rRNA from 1 species